rnacentral:rRNA from 1 species
UGGGGAAUAUUGCACAAUGGGCGCAAGCCUGAUGCAGCCAUGCCGCGUGUGUGAAGAAGGCCUUCGGGUUGUAAAGCACUUUCAGCGGGGAGGAAGGCGAUAAGGUUAAUAACCUUGUCGAUUCACGUUACCCGCAGAAGAAGCACCGGCUAACUCCGUGCCAGCAGCCGCGGUAAUACGGAGGGUGCAAGCGUUAAUCGGAAUUACUGGGCGUAAAGCGCACGCAGGCGGUUUGUUAAGUCAGAUGUGAAAUCCCCGGGCUCAACCUGGGAACUGCAUCUGAUACUGGCAAGCUUGAGUCUCGUAGAGGGGGGUAGAAUUCCAGGUGUAGCGGUGAAAUGCGUAGAGAUCUGGAGGAAUACCGGUGGCGAAGGCGGCCCCCUGGACGAAGACUGACGCUCAGGUGCGAAAGCGUGGGGAGCAAACAGG